rnacentral:lncRNA from 10 species
GAGAGCCAGAUCCCAAGUGCCCCAGGGUUGUAAUGAGUCUCCUCGCAUUAUUGAACAAACACCUCUAAGUCACCUUUUGCUGGAGGAAGCUUGGUCCUUACAGGAGGGCCUUAGAUUGGGCCCUGAUAAGGCAGCACAUCCUGUCUGCCUCCCUGUCCACACCCUCACAGCUGAGCCUGCUGCGGUUGCUGCUGACUUCAAAGGCACUGCUUCCCUUGGAUCCACAUCAAGGACUGGAAUGAGAAAAGGGUCCCCUGACCUUCUUAUAUCACCUCGCCUAAGUGUCCCCAGCGGUGCUCUGCAGAGCAGAGGCCCCAGCCUGCCUCUGAAUUGCCAGCUUCUACCACCAAGCCUGGAAGAACUUCAGGGACCAAGAACCUUAACUCCAAAUGGAACACAGGCCACAAAAAUUCCUCAAAUAUGUACACCAAAACAAAAGGGUCCCCGGGGAUUCACUUUAUCUUACCAAGUUUCAGCUGAAGGGGAAGCAUUCUAAUGGCAAGUAAGAAAAGCUGUCAGAGAACUGUUUUGUUCAACAUCAAAUGCAUUCCAGGCCUUAUUUAAUCAGGGAGCCCUCUUCACAGCUGAUGCAGAGGUUGUUCCUGCAAAUUGUUCCUGAGUCAGGGAGAGGAGCCUUGAUUUUCAAUGCAAAAUAAUGUUCUUUUGGCACAGGCAAAGUUGGUUGGCAGCUGGAGGUUUGGGGUGACCUCUGACCCUCUCCCACAGUUCCUCCCAAGUCCCACUGCACAAAACUAAGCCACCCUCAAAUCCCAGGCUCUAAUUGGCUCUUUGGUUUGUUUUGCUUUUCUCUUCUAUCCAGAGCUUCAAAAGGCACUUCGAUAAUUGUUUGAGGCAUGAAAAAGGCAGGUUUCAGCUUUCCUAACUGGAAUGGAGGUAAUUACUGUCUUCCACACACGAGCCGGUACAUGCUUGAAAUCAGAUGGCUCUGGGUUGUUUUAGAAAGUGUAGCUGGGCCUCUGAGCCAGGAGAGGGAGGAUUAUGGAGCCUUCCAGCGGCUCCAUUCCAGAGAGGGAGGAAUUCAGACAUCCCAGAAACGGUGAGGGUAACUUCCAUAUUUUUUUUGCAGUCUCUUCAAUUCUGCCCAAGAGAUUUGGCCUGAAAAGAUUGUGCCUUCAACCUCAUCCUGGAAAUUCAGGUAGCAUUUUUCGGUUUUCUCUCUCAGGAGACAGAAGCUGACACCCCACAUGACUCCCAUCUUGUCUGUAAUCAGCAACCAGGGCUUUGACCUGCACUGUCCUCCUUUCCAGCAGCAGAAAGGGGUCAAACUGAGCCAGGUCUAGUAAGAGCUAUCUCAGAGAACCAGAACACGGAUUUGCUUUUGUUCUCUCAGGACAGCAAACCCAAGGGAGGGCAGACUCAGGCUCACAUCCCACUCACACGGCCCUGAGUGUGGACUGGGAGCAAGACGCUGCUUCAAAUUUCAGCCUGCCAGCUGUGUGUCCACAGGCAGCUAACAAACAUCUCUCAUCCAGCCACAGCCUCACCCAGAGAAGAGUAACCGACCCAACCUUAUAGCGUUGCUGUGAAGUCAGUUAACAUAGGGCUGAAGUUUGCUGUGAAGUCACAGCAACCCUAUGUUAUGGUUAACUUCAUUUAACAUAGGGUUAAUGUAGGUUUAAUAUGAGGGGCUAACAAUUACAUAUAAAUGUUAGCUACUGUAAUUGUCAGAUGCAUGGCCACUGGUGCCAAAGGAACCACUCUGAAAAUUCUGGAGGUUUUCAAGACUCUGGGGAUUCAGAAAUGGAGGAAGAAAAGAAGCUGCUGCAGGAACAGUGCAGGGAAGCUAGAAGGGAACAGGGUGGCAGCCCCAGCUCAAAAGGUCUUCCCUCUCAAGGGCACCACCUGAAACGUAUAAGGUUGCCUGAAAUUCCACAGAUUAGACAUUUAGUUUUGCUUCUUUACAACAAUAUAUCUCAAAGAGAACUGGCUGGUUAAACAUUAUUCAUACAUCUGUGUGAACUGGUUUAUUUGCUCUCUUCCUAAUACCUACACACUUAGAAACUCCAGGGAGCAAAGAGCUUGGGUCUGAGUUAGGGACUAGGAAAGGAACAGAAAGUAAUAACUUAGAGUCAUGAAGCACUGUCCAAGACAUGGCCAGCUGUUCAGACUCUGAGAGCCCCAGUUCAAUUCACUGGCUGGCCUGCAGACAGCCUGCCUGGCUCAUGAGAAGGGAGGAGUGGGGAGUCAGGACCUGGAGGUCCUGAGGUGCUUUUCUGAUGUUGGUACUUUCACGUUGCCCACUCAUAAAAUACCCUUUGUAAAUGGCUUCUGGGACUCCCUCCUCUCUGGGAGUGCCUCCUUCGUGAGCUCUGCAUAUGGGUGGCCCAGAGAGCAGGCCCCAGCUGUUGCCUCUCCUCAGACAUUCCAUCCCUAUGACCUCAUCCAGGUGCGGGCUUGAGUCACCACUCCACUACAGACUCUCUUGAUUUGGAUAUUCAGUUGCCUACUUGACAUCUCCCUUUCAAGUACCUCAAACAAAACGCUCCAUGUGCCCUUACCCCUACCCCCUGCCACCCAAAACAAUCCAAACAAAAACUCCAUCAGCCUGGUCUCCAUGGACAUGUUCUUGAUGCAGUCAACCUUUCAGGACUAUUGACGUUUCUCUUUGUACCUUGUACUUUUCUUUCACAGCCCUUAGGACAAUGUAUAAUCACUUACUUAUUUUCAUAUUGACUUGUGUAAUACCUGUUUCCCAAUAGACUGUAAAAUUCAUGAGAAUGAGACCAGGUGGUUUGUCUCCUGUUCUUCCCCACACCCUAACUGGCACACAGUAGGUCCUCACUAUGUAUUUGUUGAAUGGAUAGUAUUAAAGUGAAGAUGGGUCCUAGGGUGAGGAAGAGUUUCUGGGCACAAAGAAAGGCCAUGAAACCUGGCAAAAAAUACAUAUGAGCUCAUAUCUUGUUUUCCUGAGGAGCUAUUUGGUUUCUUCCUCCUCCUAUUUGAUGAAGUUAUAUGUUUAAUUAAAGCCCUGAACAGUUAGAACAAAUGUAUAGGAAAUGAUCACAUGAUCAUGAACUUAGCAAACAGCUACAAGCUUAACUGUCUAAUAUGGGGAGUGCCUAAAUGAUAUGUAUCAAUAUGGUUGACUCUCAGUUAUCCAUUCCAGUGGAUAAUCUAAUAGCCAGUAAUCUAAUAGUUCAUAAUUUACUUGCCUAUAAUCCCAUAAGUUUUACAUGUGGCUUUGGAUUAUGUUUUGGAAUUUGCACCAGGGUAUGGGGGCUCUGAUGGUUUAGGAAUUCACAGUACUUUGAGCAUAUAUGUCCUAUGUCACUACCCCAGUUGCCCAUUAAGGAUUCCUCUGGGUUCCAACUGCAUGUGGAAAAAAUACUGCAUUGUGCUUAGGAGGAAAGUGCAUUGGUCUUUGUUUGUUUGUUUGUUUGUUUUGUUUUGGCUGUAAAAAUUGGGGUCCAAACCCCAGCUCUUGCAUUUACUAACUAGCUCUGUUUUCACACUACUUGUCCCCGUCUAAACCACUCCCUCAGGCAGGUGCAAAACAAGGCGAAAGCAGAGUUAAGCUCCUUAUGAACUUUCUGUUUUACAUCUAGGCAAAGAAACGUUCUCUCUUCUCCUUUUUUUCUCUUUUUCUUUCUGCCUUAGAAGACCUUCUCUUCCAGCUCAGUGGGAUGAAGUCAACAAGGUCUUUGCUUUACAAAAUCAUGCCUGAUUGGGAAAGAUCCUGAAAAUGUCUAGACAAAUCUGAAAGAAAAAUGCUGUCCUGGGCAAUCUAAUACAGAAAACUGACUCUGGGCUUUCCCUGGGCUCCACUGGUCCCACCAAUGGUGCAAAUGACGGUGACUUUCUCCACGUUCUACAUACAUCUGGGCAUUUGCUCAUGCUGUCUUGGGUCAAAGUCUCAAGUUGGAAAAUGGAUUCAUCCUGAGAUCCAAGGCAGAACCAGUCGUGUUGUCAGUGGGUAGCUGAGACCCCAAAAUUCCCACCUCUUUUCCUGUCAUGAAGUUUCUAUCUCGAGAGAAAACAGCUGUCCAUUCUUAGGCCAACUGGGACUGAAGCCAGCUGUUCCUUCCAGAUGCCAAGAGUCAGAUGCACGCCCACUCUUUUCUCCUAUUCCCUAAGGCUGAAGUCUCAAACUUUAUUGAAUUUAUUAAUAACCUCAGGGACUUGCUAAAAAGCAUUUCCCCAGGCUCUACCUCCAGAGAAUCUGAUUCAGUUAAUUCAGGUUGGCCAGGAAAUCUGCAUGUUAAAUAACAACCCUCCUGCCCCACCUCAUUUCUGAUCUCUAGGAAAUUCCUAUGUAAUUGGUCUGAGAAUCAUACUUUGAGUGACAAUAGCCACAGUGGAGGCACUGGUGUGCCGGUAAAUGUUUAACAACUGGCUCUGGAGGUGGAAAAGCCUGGUUUGUAGCUUGCUGAUUUCUGUGGUAUAAAUAUUCCCACCUUGGUCAACUCAAGCUACAAAUAUGACAUCAUGAUUGUGAAGUUGGGAAAAGGUUUGUGCAAUCAGUUCUGAUAAGCCCAUAGUAACUGAUUUCAGCAUGCCCACUGGGUGGAAGUGGCCGGAUGCCUCCAAAUGCUGGUUCCUAGGCUCUGGCAUAGAAGGGCCACUGUUUGGUCCAGAAUGUCACAUCCCCUAAUUUUUUUUCCCUAAAUCCUUCGUUUUUUGAAUGGUUUGUUUUGGUUACUGGCUCUCGGAGACCUUGAGGGGUUCCAAGCCAGAGAACAAAGAAGGGGAAGAGAAGGAGCUCCAAGAAAGAAAAUGCAAUUAGUGUAGGAUGUUGGCCUCAGCUACGCUGCUAACCUUGUUCAACCCAGCUUUCAGCAGGGAAGGGGUUUCAAACACCUGUCUCUGCCUUCAUUUGAUAAGCUUUCUGGUCAAGUCACAUUAACCUGAUCCUGCUGACCUGGAGAAGGAUGAAAAGGCUGAGUGUCGGGGACCUGAGGGGAUGAAAGUGGAUGGGGGAGGCCUGGGGGGGGGGCUCAUAUGACCUGGGGUCACCAUCGGCUUAAGGCUUCCCCUUUGUCUCCCUGCUCUGGCCCCAUGUUUGAAGGUUCUGGUGAUUUCCUCCCGCCCCCCGACUAGGCGAACAGAUGUGGAAAGAUCUCCAGUUCCCAGGGCUCAGGACACAACUGCCUGUUGUUUCCCGCCUGCAGACCGGGGCCUGCAGUCACAGGCAGAACAGCUACGCAAUCACUUGCCAAAGAGCUGAGCCCAGUCAGGUGUGGGGUGCAAGCCUACUCUGCCUUUUGGGAGUGAGAGGAUGUGUAAGCCUAGCUGAACAAGAAUGGAAAACAACCAUGUUCCCGCCCUGUUGUGCUCUAAGUUCACUGUGUAGGAAUUCAGAGGCACUUUAGCAGAGGCAAUGACUUGAGCUCUUCCACGGCAAUACAAUGCUCACAGGUGCCAUGACCAUUUGAACAAACGCUGCCUUCUGGGCCAGCUGCUUCUCUUGUCCCACACUGCAGGUACUGCCAACGUGAGAACUUUGCCCACUUCUAGACUGGAGUUGAGGGCACCCUGCUACUCUAAAAAGGAUGUUUUCCUCAGCCCACUGAGCUUUCAGGGCUCACUAGAUCAAGGCGGUAGAAGAGUUACAAAGGAAGGGGUGCAAGUGUUAGCUUCCUUAUGUACCUUAUUUAUUCAACACUGAUAGUUUCAGAAAUGGCUUAGAGCCUAGCUUCCUCACCAAUAUCCAUAUACCUUUGACAAGUGGGACAAAUAAAAGCAUAAAAAUAUCUCCCUUAAAUAAAACGCCUUUCUCAUAUCUAGUCCAUCUACAAGAAUAAGCUGAUACCUAAUGAUAUGUUUUCUAGUUUAUGCAAUAAAUGGUGGUGAUUACAAUUUUGCACAAAGACCUGGUACAUAUACGUCUUAGCAUGUAGCACAUUUACCUGUAAAUGCUACAAGUAGCAGAAUGACAGCCAUCUCCCUAAAGCACUGAUUCUCCAAGUGAGGUCUGCAGUCCCCUGGGAUCCCUGAGACCCUAUCAGGGUGUCUGCAAGCUCAAAAUUAUUUUCAUAAUUUUGAUAAUAUUUCAUAAUAAUACCAAGAUGUUAUUUGCCUUCUUCACUGUGUUGACAUCUGGGUAAAAUUGCUGGUGCUAGACUAUGCUGGCAGUCACGGCAUUCUUCACUGCUACAAACUUACAGGGGGAAUAAAUGCCAGUUUCACCAAAGAAUGUCCUAAAUUAGACAGUAAAAAUUAUUAAUUUUAUAAAACCUUGCCCAAAAGGUACUUUUUCUCUCCUCCCCUCCUCUCCCCUCUCUGCCUCCCUUCCCCUUCCCCUUCCCUUUCCUUUCCUUCCCUUCCCUUCCCUUUCUUUUCUUUGUGUGAUGACUUGGAAACAAAGUAUCAAGCAUUUCUGGUGCAUCCUGAAGUAUGAUGGUCAUCUGGAGGAAAAGCACUUGUGUGAGUGUCCUGAGUUGUGAUCUGCACUAGUCACUUUCAUGGAACACAAUGUUUACUCAAAAGGACCAAAUAACCAUAGUUAUUCAGAUUUGGUUAUUUGACAGGCAUUUUCUCAAAAAUGAACAAACUGAGCUCAUCACUUCAAGAAAGACAAUAAUUAACAGUAUUUUCUGCCAAAAUAGAAGUAUAAAGCAAAAAUUAGAAUUUUUAGAAACCUGUAUCUGCCAUAGUGAACUUAACACCUUCCCAACACUUACAGAGGUUUUUGAUGAGAUCAGUGAUAUUAACAAAUAAGAACUUUUAGUUUUCAUCAAGAAAUAUAUCAAAUUUGAAAAAUCUGCAUGACUUAGUGAAGCAAUAUUUUCCAAAUGACCCAUGCAUAUUAUUUCAAAAUCAUGCAUGAGCAAAAGAUCUAUUCAGAGUACAAGCCAGAUAACUGAAUUUUAACAUAACUGAGCACAAAAAGUUCAUUGAUAUAGUUUCAGAUUCCACAUUGCAACUAACCUUAGUAAUCUACUAUUGGUUGAGUUUUGGUAUAAUGUCAAAGAAGAAUAUUCACAAUUAUCUGAAAAGACUAUUAAAAUAUUCCUCCCUUUUCCAACAAAAUAACUACGUGAGGCUGGGUUUCCUUCGCAUACUUUAUCCAAAACAACAUUAUCACAGCUGAUUGAAUGCAGAAGCCGAUAUGAGAAUCCAGCUGUCUUCUAUUAAGCCGGACAGUCAAGAGAUUUGCAAAAAUGUAAAACACUGUCACUCUUCUCACUUGGAUUUUUUAAAAAAGUUAUUUUUAUAAUAAAAUGUUAUUUUUAACGUUUAAAUGGAUUAAUGAAUAUAUGCAUUUUAAUAAAUUACUAAAUGUUAAUUUAUUCAUUAACAAUGAAUAAAUAUUAAAUGAACAAAUAUUAUUUUUGGUUUUAGUUUUUAAUAUGGUAAAUUAUUUAAUUAUCUAUUGCUGUAUAGCAAAGUAUCCUAAAACCUAGUGGCUUAAAACAACAAUAAUCACUUGAGUUGCCAGCCUAAAGAAAUGGGUCCAGCUUCCGGGCAGGGCGUGGUGGCUCACGCCCGUAAUCCUAGCACUUUGGGAGGCCGAGGUGGGCGGACCACAAGGUCAGGAGAUCGAGACCAUCCUGGCUAACAUGGUGAAACCCCGUCUCUACUAAAAAUACAAAAAAUUACCCGGGCAUGGUGGUGGGUGCCUGUGGUCCCAGCUACUCGGGAGGCUGAGGCAGGAGAAUGGCAUGAACCUGGGAGGCAGAGCUUGCAGUGAGCCGAGAUCAUGCCACUGCACUCCAGCACUCCAGCCUGGGCGACAGAGUGAGACUCUGUCUCAAAAAAAAAAAAAAAAAGAAAAGAAAAGAAAGAAAGAAAGAAAGAAAUUGGUUCACCUGGGUGGCUCAUACCUGUAAUCCCAUCACUUUGGGAGGCUGAGGUGAGAUGAUCAUUUGAGGCCAGGAGUUUAAAACAAGCCUGGGCAACAUAGCGAGACCCCAUCUCUAAAAGAAAAAAAAAAAAGCCAGGAAUGGUGGUGCACACCUGUAGUCCUAGCAACUUGAGAGACUGAGGCUGAAAGAUCACUUAAUCCCAGGAGGUUGAGGCUACAGUGAAUUGUGAUUGCACCACUGCACUCCAGCCUGGAUGACAGAGGGAGACCCUAUCUCUCUAAAAAAAAAAAAAAAAAAAAGAAGAAGAAGAAGAAAGGAAGAAAAGAAAUUAUUGGUCCAUAUGUCUGAAAUGUCUUUGCUGUCUAUCUUUGUCCCGUUGCUCAUAGUUAGACCAUCAUUUAGGCAACUUCUUGCUCACUUACCCUCCACAAGCUUGGACACAGGUCCUUCUAGCUCUGUUUCUUCUGAACUUGAGAUUACUGGAGACUCCCUUAUGAGUUUUAACACUCCCCAUAACCUUUGUAUGAUUUGUACAUAGAAAAUACCCCCAAAAUUAAAAAUAAAUUAUUAAACUAAAGGAAAGGUUAGUAAGAUUGCUGGACAUAAAAUUAAUAUUUGAAAAUAAAUUAUAUUCCAAUAAGAUACACAAAUGGCCAACAAGCACAUAAGAAAUAUCUUUAGUAUCACCUGCUCUCUGCAGCUCCCAGGCACACCUCCCCAGGAGCAGAGGUUUUCUGGGCUAGGUCAGGCCCUCCCAUUACCUGCUUUGUAGAAGACAGGGAAGAAAAUCACUCACUGUAUGUAAUUUUAUUUAAGAGAGUGCAAGAAUGUCGUGUUUGAGCCUUUCACUCUUUUUUCUUUGUAUUUCUUAUCGGAAAUGAAAGAAAACAGCCAGUGAGAUAGGAUCUCAGGUCUAGAAUUCCUAGCAGGUAAUUUGGGAGUUGAAAACAAAUCUCCCCUGAAAUGCAUUAAGCAGGUGAAGGGGAUUCCAGUUUCAACUCUGAAACCACACCUUAUCCUGGCCUGGCAAAUAACUUCCUUCCAGCCCCAGGCAAAUCCCAACUUCCACCCGCCAAAUGCCUGCAGUUAAUAAACGUUUAAGCAACAACAAAAACCCCAAGUGGAAAAUGGAAGACUGAUUCGAGGCUGAGAUACUAGAAGGGCUGCCUGGGAGCCCCUCUCUGAGAGCCGCGCCCACAGGAGGAACUUUUAGCCAGGGAAGCCGGGGCCUGGAGCUGGGGAACCCAAGGCAUGAUGUCUUUCAGAGCGUCAGAGCAGGGUAAAUAUCUGAUUUGAGUCAAAUGAUUAUUUUUCUUGAUCAGAUUUGUCCACUUGUUUCAUUGGAACUCCAUACCACUAGCCAUGGUCAAACCCUUCAAAAUGGCCAAAAUCUCCAGACUGCAUUAUUGGGCCACAGUAGGUCCUGCUUCCUGCUAAGUGCUGCAAGACUGGAGUUUCCAAGCUCUGGUCUAGAUAGGUCAGCUGAGGGUUGGUAAGGAAGUUCUCAUGGGUCCAGAGAGAACUAAGAAAAAAAGGAUCAUGUUAUGCUGUGGAAAUGUGCUCCGCGGUAAUUUUUAUUCCCAUUUUACAUAUCAGAAAACAGAGGCUCAGAGACGUUGAAUGACUUGCCACAUAGCUAGUCAGUAGCAGAGCGAGGAUGGAGAUUCACAUGAUCAAUCACAGUGACCACCGUUUGCUGAGCACCUGUAGUGAGACAGGCAAACACCUUGUGCUUUGUGUGUGUUAACUUGUUCAGUUCUCGUGGAUUGCUUCCUUUUUAAAGAAAUGAAACUGUUCAACAGAGCUUCCUGCCAUAAGGGAAAUCUUCUACAUCUCACGUCCAAUAGAUAGCCACAAGCCCCAUGUUGCUAUUCAGCCCUUGAAAUGUGGUAAGUGAAACUGAGGAACAAAAUUUUAAAAUUUUAUUUCACUUAAAUUGAUUUAAAUGUGAACAGCCACAUGUGGCUGGCAGCUCUGGGAGGUUCAGUAGCUUUUCCAAAAGCCAGCGAAGUGAUGAGGUGAGGGUUGUGUUGUGGGGCUGAUUGAGCCCCAAAUCCAUGUGUUUCCCCCUUUCUCUCUGCUCCCCUGUGAGGUGGCCUGCCUUUUCCAAAGUAAAAGACACUGGGAAGGAAACUGACCAGACAGUAUACAGUCAGCCAAAAAUAAAGCCAGACCCCAAAGGUGGGGUCUGUAUUUGAGUCUGCUUCUUCCGAAUGUGUCUGGAAGCCCCCAUGGGUGGCCAAACAGCCCAGCUGGGGGCUUCAGACCCUGCACCAGUAACUUCCCAGAGCCCACCAUGGCCCAUUUGGCUGGGGCUUAUAUGACUCACAGGUUCCAACCCUACAAUUUAAACUGCAGCAUUUCCUUUUUCUGGGCUUAACACUAAUUGGUAGAGGUAGUGAGCUCCCAGGCCCAGCCUCACCCUGUCGAAACAUGUAGCUCUCAACAGUUCCCACUGGAAGCACCACCCAUGAGGUGCAGCUACCAUUGCCAUGUGUCUGAAUGCCAGUGUUUAACCCAAGCUGGCCCAUUGUUGUUCCAUGAGCCUCUCUAUAGCCUCUGAAUGUUCAUCUUU